CCAGAUCGUCAGCUAAGGUCCCUAAAUGUAAGUUAAGUGGUAAAGGAUGUGGGAUUGCACAGACAACCAGGAUGUUGGCUUAGAAGCAGCCACUCAUUCAAAGAGUGCGUAAUAGCUCACUGGUCGAGUGAUCCUGCGCCGAAGAUUUCCGGGGCUAAAACUUACUACCGAAGCUACGGCAUCAGUAAUGAUGGGUAGGGGAGCUUCCCAUACGGGUUGAAGCAUGACCGUAAGGACAUGUGGACAGUAUGGGAGUGAGAAUGUUGGCAUGAGUAGCGAGAUGUGGGUGAGAAUCCCACAGGCCGUAAACCCAAGGUUUCCAGGGGAAGGUUCGUCCGCCCUGGGUUAGUCGGGACCUAAGCUGAGGCCGAAAGGCGUAGGUGAUGGACAACAGGUUGAUAUUCCUGUACUACCGAUAACCGUUUGAGAGAAGGGAUGACACAGUAGGAUAAGCUAAGCACACUGUUGGUUAUGUGUGCCCAAGCAUUGAGGCAGUCAAAGUAGGCAAAUCCGCUUUGAUAAUGCUGGGAUGUGAUGGGGAGCGAAAUUUAGUAGCGAAGUAGCUGAUUUCACACUGUCAAGAAAAGUCUCUAUCGAGGUUAAAGGUACCCGUACCGCAAACCGACACAGGUGGGUGAGGAGAGUAUCCUAAGGCCAGCGAGAGAACUGUUGUUAAGGAACUCGGCAAAAUGACCCCGUAACUUAGGGAUAAGGGGUGCCACCAUCAGGUGGCCGCAGAGAAUAGGCCCAAGCGACUGUUUACCAAAAACAUAGGUUUCUGCUAAGUCGCAAGACGAUGUAUAGGAGCUGACGCCUGCCCGGUGCUGGAAGGUUAAGGGGAUCUGUUAGAGCAAUCGAAGCAGUGAACUUAAGCCCCAGUAAACGGCGGCCGUAACUAUAACGGUCCUAAGGUAGCGAAAUUCCUUGUCGGGUAAGUUCCGACCCGCACGAAAGGCGUAACGAUUUGGGCACUGUCUCAACAACAGACUCGGUGAAAUUGUAAUUCCGGUGAAGAUGCCGGAUACCUGCGACAGGACGGAAAGACCCCAUGGAGCUUUACUGUAGCUUGACAUUGGGUCUUGGUACUACAUGUACAGGAUAGGUGGGAGGCUUUGAAACCAGGACGCCAGUUUUGGCGGAGCCAUCCUUGGGAUACCACCCUUGUAGUACUGGGACUCUAACCAUAGGCCAUGAAUCUGGUCUUGGGACACUGUCAGGUGGGCAGUUUGACUGGGGCGGUCGCCUCCCAAAAGGUAACGGAGGCGCUCAAAGGUUCUCUCAGUACGGUCGGAAAUCGUACGUAGAGUGUAAAGGCAAAAGAGAGCUUGAUUGCAAGACAUACAGGUCGAGCAAGGAUGAAAAUCGGACUUAGUGAUCCGGUGGUUCUGCGUGGAAGGGCCAUCGCUCAACGGAUAAAAGCUACCCUGGGGAUAACAGGCUUAUCUCCCCCAAGAGUCCACAUCGACGGGGAGGUUUGGCACCUCGAUGUCGGCUCAUCACAUCCUGGGGCUGUAGUAGGUCCCAAGGGUUGGGCUGUUCGCCCAUUAAAGUGGUACGCGAGCUGGGUUCAGAACGUCGUGAGACAGUUCGGUCCCUAUCCGUCGCAGGCGUAGGAAAUUUGAGAAGACCUGUCCUUAGUACGAGAGGACCGGGAUGGACGUAUCUCUGGUGUACCAGUUGUCCUGCCAAGGGCAUGGCUGGGUAGCUAUGUACGGAAUGGAUAAGCGCUGAAAGCAUCUAAGCGCGAAGCCAACUUCAAGAUAAGAUUUCCCACCGCAAGGGUAAGACCCCAGAAAGACUAUCUGGUUGAUAGGUCGAAGGUGUAAGUGCAGCAAUGUAUUUAGCUUAUCGAUACUAAUAGGUCGAGGACUUGACCAAU
rnacentral:rRNA from 1 species